rnacentral:lncRNA from 1 species
GACAACUGUAGUUAAAUAGUUAUUCAUAUAUCUAUACUACUUGUAAAAGAGAGUUUAAAGAAAAAAAAAAUUUCCAAAAUGCCACCACUCUUUAUUAAUGUAAUUCCAAUCACAUACUAACAACAUUAAUCAUUUAAUUUUUAUGGGUAUAAAUCACAGCCAUAUAAUUUUUUUAUUUUUAAAUUAUUAUAAAUAUAUUAACUUUUAGCUAUUGGAUCUAAUUCAAUGACAAGCGAAUUAAGUAUAUGUCAUUUUUUUACCUAAAUUGCUCUCAGUGCCUAUCAAAUCCCAUCUUUUAUACACGUAUGUAAUCUCAUAAUAACUGCUAUCUACAUAAUAUCUAUAUUUCACCUUAAUUAAUUCUUAUAAUUAUUUACACUAUACAUAAAACUAUACAGAAAUUCUUAUAAUGGAAAACGAAAUUAAAAAAAAUAAAAGAAUAUUUUAUACAAAUGGUUAUGAUUAAUUUAUUAAAAAAUAUCUCAAAUAAAAAUAAAUGGCUAUAAUCAAUUUAUUAAAAAAUAGAAUCUUAUAUAUCAAUAUAUCAAAUCUUAGAAUGGUUUGUAAACCCAACGACAACCCCGUUAAGACCCAACAUCCUCGUCAGUCCAAUUACACAUACAGCCCCAGAACACCAGGCAAUGUGAGACUCGUCUCGCUAGCCCGUCAUCCAGACCCUGGCUCAGCCGAGACUCGCCACACAUGUCCAACUGGUAAACCGGCUCUGAUACCAAAUGUAACGACCCAGCCCACUAGCAACAAUAACCCGUUGGGCCCAACCACCAGCCCAAAAUGCUUAAGCGUAGUUAUUAUUACUAGUGUCUAAGUCUCUUAUAAACCCAACGACAACCCCAUUCCCAUCCGAUGUGGGACUAUUAGGGUGUCACAUGGUUGUUAUUAAUUUUUUUAAUUUAUAAAUUUUAGAUAUCAAAUUUAAAUUAACAAUUAAAAUAUAUAAUUACGGUGAAUCAAAAUUAAAUUUUAAAUUUCAAAAUAAAUGUGAAUUAAAUGUUGACGCUUUUUAAUUUAAACAAUAUACUUAAAUUUUAAAUUUAUCAAAAUUUAAAAAAUAUAUAAAAAUAUUCAAUAUAUAUUGAAAAAAUAAUAAAGAAUGUUGCAACUAUUUUCUAAUAAAAUAUAACAUAUAUGUUAAAGAUAUGCCUUCUUUUUUAUUGAUUUGAUUCAUACACCGGAUUUAUGGAAAAAUAAAAAAGAUCUCAUAAGGAUUUAUUUUGGUGGAUCCUAAUUUAAAUUGGAAUCCUAGGUGGACUAGGAUUGGUUUUCAUAUAAUACUCUAUAUUCAAUAAUCAUAUUGAAUUA